AGGAAGAGAAAGGAGAGGCUUAGAAACCUGUGUAUAGUAACAUGUUUAGUUAGAGAUGUGUGAACUUACAGUAAAUUUAAUUUGUCAUGAACUUCUUGGCUCGGCAGUUGACGACUUUUCCUGCAUAAAUUAGCUCAGCCUUCAGGUGCUCCCGUGGGCUGGAAAAGGCAUCAACUGCCGAGAAGUUCGUGACGUAUCUAAUUUACUGUAAGUUCGCUCAUCUCUAGUUCUAGUGGCACAGCUUAAUAGAACAUCACUGCCCCAGUUUCUCAGGAGCUCAUAAUUUCGGCCUAGUGUGCAGCUAUAUUAAUAAGCCUAAAACAUUGGUCCAGAGCCAUAUCCAUCCAUUUCUUUUUAAUCAUAAAGGAAAACCCUGACAAGCGUACAACAAGGCAUCAGUACUAGUCUGCAAAUGCCAAGACACAAGCACUGUAGAUAAGGAAUACACCGAAUUGCAUGGCUGAAAUGUUAACUAUAAAUGUAAGUCAGACCCUUACUGUAUUUUGGUCAAAACGUGUUUCCCCAUUCACCAUACAGAGGUGGCCAAAUUGCAAAUAGGACCCCAACAUUCUAUCGACUUUUUUUGGGCCACCACUGUGCUGAUAUUAGGGGGUGUAAUGGUACAUUUAUCACAAUCUGUACUAAGCCUCAAAAUUAGUUCUAUUUUAAUAUAGCAACAAUGCAAGUCUAUUGCAUAUGUACAGUGCUGAUGUGCCGCAGUGUGAGCGGCUGUUACAACCUUUGUAUGUUUUGCAAUAGCAGCGUGCACCUACAUAUCCAACGGAGGUGUCAACUAUAGUUCAUUGUAUAGGACACUGACAAGCUACAUGCAACAGUACCCAUCAAUGCCAGGGUAUUUAAGACCCAUGAGUCCACAUCCCUGCUCCCCAUGACCAUAAGCCUCAGUAUUUUUUCUAUGUUGUCAGAAAUCACUUCUGUCCACUACUCUUGAACCAUCAUCGGCUUAUGUCAGAUGUUACAAUGAGUAAAAUACACAGGGAUGUUACACUCCUCCAGCUGUGGAAUUACAGAGCAGUCUGAACCUGGCUACAUAAGCUACUAAAAGGCUAUUCAGGAGAAUCGGCUGGGUAUUUAUAGUUGCACAACGUACACGGCUUUCUUUAGUAAUGACUGCCGCUAGAAGUGACAGCCUCCCACCAGUGUAUUGAUAGGUCUCAUGCAUUAGAUUACAAUAUACACUGUCAGUAUCAUUGUGUACACUGCAGCCCCUAGCAUAGCAAGGCAUUUAAAGGAGAUCUCUAGUCUUGAACGACCAGGGAUCCAACUGCUAAGACCCCUGCAGUCUCCCGGAAGCCUCGCGGGGGGGGGGGGGGGGGUGUUUACCACCGCACGAAGCAGUGGCUAAAACACCCCC